rnacentral:rRNA from 1 species
AACCUGGUUGAUCCUGCCAGUAGUCAUAUGCUUGUCUCAAAGAUUAAGCCAUGCAUGUAUCAGUUCACACCACUUGAUGGUGAAACCGCGAAUGGCUCAUUAAAUCAGCUUUGGUUUCUUAGACCUUACCCUUACUUGGAUAACUAUAGUAAUUCUAGAGCUAAUACAUGCCAAUGUGCCGUUGUCUGUCCUAGAUAUCGGCGGUUUGAUUAGAUCAAAGUCAACCGGUUCCUUGUGGACUGUUUGUUUGAUGACUCUAGAUGACUUACCUAAUCGCUUGACCUUGAGUCGGCGAUGUAUCUUUCAAAUGUCUGACCUAUCAACUUUCGAUGGUGAGUGAUAUGCUCACCAUGGUGAUAACGGGUAACGGGGAAUCAGUGUUCGAUUCCGGAGAGGGAGCCUUAGAAACGGCUACCACAUCUAAGGAAGGCAGCAGGCGCGCAAAUUAUCCACUCUCAGCGAGAGGAGAUAGUGACGAUAAAUAACAAUGCAAGACUCAAUAUGAGGCCUUGCAAUUGGAAUGAGUACAAUUUAAAUCCUUUAACGAGGAUCAAUUGGAGGGCAAGUCUGGUGCCAGCAGCCGCGGUAAUUCCAGCUCCAAUAGCGUAUAUUAAAUUUGCUGCAGUUGAAAAGCUCGUAGUUGGAUAUGAGGUUUGAGACGUCGGUUCCGUUUAAUAGCAGAUACUGUACGUUUUGGCCUUAAAUAGUCGUUAGUUGCUUUGCGUGCUCUUCACUGAGUGCUGCAGGGUGCACGACAAUUUUACUUUGAACAAAUUAAAGUGCUCAAAGCAGGCUUUUUGUAGCUUGAAUAGUUUUGCAUGGAAUAAUGAAAUAGGACUUUGGUUCUAUUUGUUGAUUUUCGGUAUCAAAGUAAUGAUUAAAAGAGACAAACGGGGGCUUAUGUAUGGCAGAGGGAGAGGUGGAAUUCUAGGAUCUUUGCCAGACAGCCUACUGCGAAAGCAUUUGCCAAGGAUGCCUUCAUUAAUCAAGAACGAAAGUGUGGGGUUCGAAGACGAUCAGAUACCGUCCUAGUCUACACUGUAAACUAUGCCGACUAACAAUCGAGUAUAGCUUUGUUUUAUAAGCUUACUUGGCUGUCCCUGGGAAACCUUAAGUAUAGGUUCUGGGGGGAAUAUGGUCGCAAGGCAGAAACUUAAAGGAAUUGACGGAAGGGCACCACCAGGAGUGGAGCCUGCGGCUUAAUUUGACUCAACACGGGGAAACUCACCCGACCCGGACACUGUGAGGAUAGACAGAUUGAUAGCUCUUUCUUGAUUCGGUGGAUGGUGGUGCAUGGCCGUUCUUAGUUGGUGGAGUGAUUUGUCUGCUUAAUUGCGAUAACGAACGAGACUCCAAUCUGCUAAAUAGUACAGUGGCACCGGUGCAUAUGCACUACAGUCACUGCAGACUUCUUAGAGAAAUGUGCGGAAUGAAGUCGCAAGAAAGGGAGCAAUAACAGGUCUGUGAUGCCCUUAGAUGUCCGGGGCCGCACGCGCGCUACAAUGAUAACGUCAGCAAGUAAUAAAACCUGGUCCGAAAGGAUUGGGAAAUCUUUGCAUUGUUAUCUCAUCAGGGAUUGAGACUUGUAAUUAUUUCUCAUGAACGAGGAAUUCCUAGUAGGUGUAAGUCAUCAGCUUACGCCGAUUACGUCCCUGCCCUUUGUACACACCGCCCGUCGCUACUACCGAUUGAAUGGUUUAGUGAGGCCAUCAGAUUGAUCUGAAGUGGGGGCAACUUCGCUUCGGUGUUGAGAAGACGGUCGAACUUGAUCAUUUAGAGGAAGUAAAAGUCGUAACAAGGUUUCCGUAGGUGAACCUGCAGAAGGAUCA